ensembl:lncRNA
AUCUUUUAAGCCCAUUGUGGAUUAAAAAAAAAAAUUAAGAGGACCCUGUGGGUGGGAGGUAGAAGCAGAGUGGGUCCCCCUCAUCUGACUACUUUUACAUUGGCUGGGAGGUGUUAAGGGAAACAAUAGCUGUGUUGUUGUGCCGCUCCCCCCAUCCUUCUGCCUCAGGUUGGAAAGGGCUGUGUUGGGGUGGGGUGGUGGUAAGGGGGAACUGGUGGAGGUGACACUGAUCUCUUCUGGUCCAUGCAUCGGAAGGGAGGAGAAAGGGGUUUCAAUGAGGCAGAGUGGGAUGGGCUUUUAUUUUUUAAGGGGGGAGGUCUUCAGGCAAUGGCAGCACCCCCUUUUUGCUGUCUACCAAGGAGAGCUGCAAGAGAAAGAAAGAGAGGGGAGCGAAAUUCCUGAAUGGAUAGACAGAUGCUACGUCAUCAGGGCUGCAGCCUCUACUCCACAAGAGGCUAGGAGCUGGGGGGGAGAGAAGCAGACCAGCCGUGGGGGCCUGAGAGACAGACACCUCCUCUUCACAGGAACUGGGCUUCGGACACCCCCCUGCGACCCCCCAGCCUCCGAAUUACAUGCCCGGUGUUGGGGGUGGGGCAUAGAGAAGGAGGGUUGGAGAACCCGACGCUGCAGAAGAGAAGCCAUCGACAGGAGAGGGAGCACAGACUUCCUAUUUGAUUUGGUCUUGGCAUUCCUCUUCCUUCUCUUCAUUCUGCAGCACAACUCAGCACGUUUGAUAUUGGUAUUCAGCACAUUGGACAGCGCCAGGAUGGAGAGAAGGUGAUAUUGGAUGCCCGUAUUGUGGACUGAGGAUGGACUAGGAAGGACAGUAAGGGGCAUGGGAUAAGCAGAAGUGAAGACAAAGAUGACUCUGAAGUUUCAAGCCAAAAUUCUUCAAAAAGUAGUCAGUCUACUUAUCACUGCUUCCAUUUCCCCACCACUUUUGGACCCCUUGAAAUUUCCUACCAUUGUAAUAACCUACUCUUUCUAAAGUCACUAUUGAUCUCCUAAUUGCUAAAUAUAGAUGUCUUUCCUUAGACCUUAUCUUCAAUUUGCAACCUUUAAUACUAUUCACCAUUCCUUCCUUUCUGAAAGUUUUCAAUAAUAUUAUACUGUCAUGAUAUUCCUCAUUUCUCUCUGACUGAUCCUCUGGCUCCUUGGUGAUACCUUUCCCCUGCCAUCCCUUAAGUAUCCUUAUCUCUUGAAUCCUCUCUGUCCCUUAUACUCUUGCUUCUCUACACUCUCCUUUGUCAACCUUAAUAACUUUUAUGGUUUCAACAACCACCUCUAUGUUAAUAAUUUCCUCUUUAGUUCUCCUGAGCACCAGAGCUAUAUCUGUACCUGCCGUCUCCACUGAAACAUCUAUUUAGAAUUUCUAGCUCAAUAUGUUUAUAAUAUAGCAUAUUAGUUUUUCUUCCAAACCAGGUUUUCUUCUUAACUUCUACUACCCUAUUAAUACCAUAGUUAUUUGAUGGGUUAUCUAGACUUGAAACCUGAGUUGAUCGGAUUUCCUCUCUAUUCCGUGGACUGAAAGAAACAACCAAACCCUUUGAACAGCCAACUUCUUUUGUUUUCCAUUUUCUUUUUUCUUUUAAAAAAUAUUGGUGCAUUUUGUCUUUAUAUCACAUUUAAUUUCAAAUAUAUCACGUUUCCUUCCCUUUUACAGAGAAUCAUCCCUGUAACAAAGAUUUUAAAAGGAAGAAGAGGAAUAAAAAUCAGUUAAUCAAAGCCAGCCUUCACAUCUGUUCUGACAUUAUGUGCAAUACUCCAUAUCCAUGGUAUUCUACUUCUACAAAAAAAAGGGAACAGGUACAUUUUCUCAACCCUUCUUUUGGACCAAACUUCAUCACUAUAAUUACACAAUAUUCCAUUUUGCUUUUCUUUUGUUUAUUCCAUUUACAUUAUUAUGAUCACAUAUAUUGUUUCUUGGUUCUGUUGACUAAAAGCUGCUUUAAUUUAUGUCUUCUAAUGCUUCCCUGAGAUUUUCAUAUCCAUCUAAUAAAGAAAUGAUGCACUAUUACAUUCAUGGAACCACAAUUUUUUUGGAUGAGCAUUUACCUUGUUUCCAGUUCUCUGCUACCUCAAAAAACUGUUAUGAACAUUUUGAUACACAUCCCUUCUUUCAUUUUCAUCAUGCUAAUCUUCCUCAUUGCUUCUCCCUUCAACUACUAUAAUGACUUCCUAAUUUGCCUCCUUGCCUCUCCUCUACCAUUCAUCUCAUAGAAGCUAUCAGAGUCAUCUUCCUCAAGUGUCAUCUUCAUAAGGUCACUCUCCAGCUCAGGGAUCACAUUUAAGUUCAAAUUUUUUAGCAUGGCAUUCUAGGUCUUCCAUAGUCAGUCCCUAAUCGAUAUU